UAGUCCACACCGUAAACGCUGUCUACUAGCUGUGUGUGUCUUUAAGGCGUGCGUAGCGAAGCUAACGCGCUAAGUAGACCGCCUGGGGAGUACGGCCGCAAGGUUAAAACUCAAAUGAAUUGACGGGGGCCCGCACAAGCGGUGGAGCAUGUGGUUUAAUUCGAUGCAACGCGAAGAACCUUACCUACACUUGACAUGCAGAGAACUUUCUAGAGAUAGAUUGGUGCCUUCGGGAACUCUGACACAGGUGCUGCAUGGCUGUCGUCAGCUCGUGUCGUGAGAUGUUGGGUUAAGUCCCGCAACGAGCGCAACCCUCGCCGUUAGUUGCCAGCAUUUCGGAUGGGAACUCUAACGGGACUGCCUGUGAAAGCAGGAGGAAGGCGAGGAUGACGUCUAGGUCAGCAUGGGUCCUUACGGAUCUGGGGCUACACACGUGCUACAAUGGCAGGUACAAAGCGCAGCCAUUCGU
rnacentral:rRNA from 1 species